UCCCCUUGCCUCUCUGCUGUGUGAGCUCGGCUGUUUCCUCUUCGAGCGUUUUCAGCCAGAGAGGCGAACCAUGGCGGCUACUGAGAUCGCGAGACAAGCGGGAGAGGGUGUACGUGCUGUCCCACUCUCUGGCCAUGUUGGCUUUGACAGCAUGCCGGACCAGCUGGUCAACAAGUCUGUUAACCAUGGCUUCUGCUUCAACAUCCUCUGUGUCGGAGAGACAGGGUUGGGGAAGUCCACUCUUAUGGACACUCUGUUUAACACCAAGUUUGAGGGUGAACCAACACAGCACAACCAGCCAGGAGUGCAGCUCAAGUCCAACACGUACGAGCUGCAGGAGAGCAACGUGCGCCUCAAGCUCACCAUUGUGAACACAGUUGGCUUUGGAGACCAGAUCAACAAAGAGGACAGUUACAAACCUAUUGUGGAGUUCAUCGACACUCAGUUUGAAGCUUACCUUCAGGAAGAGCUGAAAAUCAAACGCACCCUCCACAACUAUCAUGACUCACGCAUCCAUGCCUGCCUGUACUUCAUCGCCCCCACUGGACACUCCUUAAAGUCCCUGGACUUGGUGACCAUGAAGAAAUUGGACAGCAAGGUUAAUAUUAUUCCCAUCAUUGCCAAGUCUGAUGCUGUCUCAAAGAGUGAACUGGCUAAGUUCAAAAUCAAGAUCACCAGUGAGCUGGUCAGCAAUGGAGUCCAGAUCUACCAGUUCCCCACUGAUGACGAGACUGUGGCAGAGAUCAACUCCACAAUGAACGGCCAUUUGCCAUUCGCAGUGGUGGGAAGCACUGAGGAAGUGAAGAUCGGGAACAAGAUGGUGAAAGCACGGCAGUACCCCUGGGGAACUGUCCAGGUGGAGAACGAGAACCACUGUGAUUUUGUGAAGCUGAGGGAGAUGCUGAUCCGGGUGAACAUGGAGGAUCUGAGGGAGCAAACCCACACGCGCCAUUAUGAGCUCUACCGCCGCUGCAAACUAGAGGAGAUGGGCUUCAAAGACACAGACCCUGACAGCAAACCUUUCAGUCUGCAGGAGACGUAUGAGGCCAAGAGAAAUGAGUUUAUGGGUGAGCUGCAGAAGAAGGAAGAGGAGAUGAGGCAGAUGUUUGUCCAAAGAGUGAAGGAGAAAGAAGCUGAGCUGAAGGAGGCGGAGAAGGAGCUGCAUGAAAAGUUUGACCGUCUAAAGAAGCUGCACCAGGAUGAGAAAAAGAAGCUGGAGGAUAAGAAGAAAGCUCUUGAUGAUGAACAGAACAUCUUCAAGCAGAAGAAGACGGCAGCUGAGCUACUGCAGUCUCAGGCCCAGCAGGCAGGGGGCUCCACCACACUCAAGAGGGACAAAGAGAGGAAAAAGAAUGAUGGGUGUGACCAGAGCUGAAGUAUCGUUCUUUAAUUUGGGCCAACCUGUGUUCUCUGGUGGGUCUUGUGCUGCGGCUCGCUACAGCCUCCCUGCUCACUGCUCUUCUUUUAAAUCUGUCUUGGCCACCUGUCUGAAGAGGGGAUUGCAGCUUCCACGAGAACUAAAGCACCUAUUUUCCUCUUCCUGUCUCUCUCUGCCAGCCUUUUUUAUUAUUAUUUUGAACGUUUCAAAACGUCCUCGCCGUCUGCUCAGUCAAACAGAGCCUUAUGUGGGCUUCACAAGGUGUUUUUCGCAAUAAGCAUUAACUCUCUUUCCUAAUUACGGCAUGCCAAGCAAAGUCCCACACUAAUAUUUUUUACAGAUUUUGUGAAAAAUGCCAGAACCAAAGUUCUGGGAGUAAAACAGCAUGAAGGAGACCUAAAAGACAUUCUUUGCUGUGAAAACAUUAGCUUUUAUACAUGAGACAUAAAUACAUAUUGCCUUGCAUAGUAAGCUUACAUGUAGGCCUCAGUCUUUCACAUUAGCACAGGAAUCGUCUGGAUUUCUCUUGUGAGAAUGUGAUUGUAUGAGUGAACAUGGAUUUCCUCUGAAAAAAAAAUGAUGCAAAGAACAAAACUGUGCAGAUGAAAUACAUACAGGUUAAUGUUUCCUUACUACACACUAUGUGUUUAAACUUAAAGAAGUAAAGGACAGGCAAGUUCUUUUUUUCUACAACUUGAAAACAUUGACUGUCUGGCUGUGAGAUAUAAAGACCCAAAGAAAGAUUUAGUUUGAAGUGUUGUCAAAUAAUAUAAAAGACCUAUUUAACUUCUAUCUUGAAACCAUGUGAUAAGACUCAAAGUUGUUGAUGAAAAAUGUAAUUACAAUUAUUUAAAUUUGGUCCAUUUCAAGACUGAGGACUAAUAACAAUAUUGAUAGUGUCCUCUAAUUUGGUGAAUUUGAAGGCUGUAGUUUAAAAAAGCACUUCUAAAUACCAUGUAGAUCACUUUCAGUCCCUUUUCAUUUAAACUUCACCUUUUGACAGCCUAAUCUGCCCUUUGCAUGUCUUUUCACAUUUUCUUUUGUUUUUACUAUAAAUUUAUUUCAAAGCCUUUUUCAGUGUCAAAAAAUGCUCUCUAUAUUGGCUUGUUUUUCUCUUGCGUAUUUAUUCCAGGUACAUGUGCAGUUGUAUCUGCUUGACAAAUUUCAACAGAUUUUGCCAAAUAUUACAUUUAGAUAGAUUAUAGUUUUGGCAGUUUUGUUCUAAAUAAGUCAAAUGGCAGAUACAGAUAUUCAUCCAUAUACAUAUAAUUUAUAAGGAUCUAUUUUGUGUAUUGAAGUAGAGACGUGUCUUCAUGAAAAAUAAUAUUGUUGGGAUGUGAUGGUUUUCGCUGUGUACAACAUCAAGACUCUAGGCUCCAUUUUUCUAGUAUCUUCAUACCUGCCUUUCAUUGUCCGCUCCCUCCGCCCCUGUCAUAACGCAAAGUUGUGAAAUAUUUAAUUGUAGUGAGAUUUCAUUGGUGUACAUUUUCAAUAAAACUACAGUGAAAACAACUGA